ACUCCCUCGGGAGGCAGCAGUAGGGAAUCUUCCGCAAUGGACGAAAGUCUGACGGAGCAACGCCGCGUGAGCGAAGAAGGCCUUCGGGUCGUAAAGCUCUGUUGUCAGGGAAGAACAAGUGCCGGAGUAACUGCCGGCACCUUGACGGUACCUGGCCAGAAAGCCACGGCUAACUACGUGCCAGCAGCCGCGGUAAUACGUAGGUGGCAAGCGUUGUCCGGAAUUAUUGGGCGUAAAGCGCGCGCAGGCGGUCCUUUAAGUCUGAUGUGAAAGCCCACGGCUCAACCGUGGAGGGUCAUUGGAAACUGGGGGACUUGAGUGCAGAAGAGGAGAGCGGAAUUCCACGUGUAGCGGUGAAAUGCGUAGAGAUGUGGAGGAACACCAGUGGCGAAGGCGGCUCUCUGGUCUGUAACUGACGCUGAGGCGCGAAAGCGUGGGGAGCAAACAGGAUUAGAUACCCUGGUAGUCCACGCCGUAAACGAUGAGUGCU
rnacentral:rRNA from 1 species